GUGGGAGUGGCCUUCGGAUCAGUUGCUCUACCUGGGCUCUUCACUGUCUGUGGGCCUCCCUGUCCCAGAGACUUCUGAACACGCUGGGUCAACUUGAGCAAAGCCAGGUCCCCGUCCUUGGGUUUGAUUUCAGUGAUGGUCUCCCCUGCCUCUGCGGUAGCCCCCUUCUUCAGCACACGGAGCCCACUGAAGAAAGCUGGAAGCUGGAAGGGCUUCUCUUCCGGAGCUUCUCUUUUAGAAACAGUGCUCGCAAGGGCACCUACAGUCUGGUCUGUUGCUGCGGGUGGGAUUUGAGACCCUUCUUCUGCAGCCUGGUCCUGCCUGGGGCUGUGCUCUGCCGGAUGGCUACCAUCACCACCAAGUUCCAGUUUGCUACUUGUCUCAGGUCACAGGCGUCCUCCCUUCCGGUUUGCUGGAUGCGGCGUACCCAGGGCAACUUGUUAAGGCUGGGCAACGCUAUGCCUCAAAGCAGCUGGGGCUGCACACCUUACUACACAUGGGCAGGUAGGCUGAUCUUCUGGACUUCCGUAUUUACUCCCCAGGACAAAAGGCUUUUUGUCACAGGCAAAGUCAGCCUGUCCCGUAAUCCCAGCCCAGGACUUCAGGAGGAGCUCCGCCCCAGAGCCUACGAUUCUCCUGGUCGCAUUCAACUUCCUCAUUGGUGAGCAAGUUGAGGUUUUUAAAAGUGCUGAGCCGGCAAGCUGGUCCGGACAGCCCUGAACCACCCCCUGGUGCAGCCCAAGAGAUUCCAAAGUGAAUCAGCAGAAAAUGACCAAAGUGAGCUCUCUUUUCCAUCCGACGGUAAUCAAAGGCCUUGGCCAGCGAGGCCCUA
ensembl:antisense Gm13966 predicted gene 13966